AUUGAACGCUGGCGGCAGGCCUAACACAUGCAAGUCGAGCGGAUGAAGGGAGCUUGCUCCUGGAUUCAGCGGCGGACGGGUGAGUAAUGCCUAGGAAUCUGCCUGGUAGUGGGGGAUAACGUCCGGAAACGGGCGCUAAUACCGCAUACGUCCUGAGGGAGAAAGUGGGGGAUCUUCGGACCUCACGCUAUCAGAUGAGCCUAGGUCGGAUUAGCUAGUUGGUGGGGUAAAGGCCUACCAAGGCGACGAUCCGUAACUGGUCUGAGAGGAUGAUCAGUCACACUGGAACUGAGACACGGUCCAGACUCCUACGGGAGGCAGCAGUGGGGAAUAUUGGACAAUGGGCGAAAGCCUGAUCCAGCCAUGCCGCGUGUGUGAAGAAGGUCUUCUGAUUGUAAAGCACCUUAAGUUGGGAGGAAGGGCAGUAAGUUAAUACCUUGCUGUUUUGACGUUACCAACAGAAUAAGCACCGGCUAACUUCGUG
rnacentral:rRNA from 1 species